GACGUAGGGCGCGAGCGUUGUCCGGAUUUAUUGGGCGUAAAGAGCUCGUAGGCGGCUUGUCGCGUCGUCUGUGAAAUCCCGCGGCUCAACCGCGGGUCUGCAGUCGAUACGGGCGGGCUAGAGUUCGGUAGGGGAGACUGGAAUUCCUGGUGUAGCGGUGAAAUGCGCAGAUAUCAGGAGGAACACCGGUGGCGAAGGCGGGUCUCUGGGCCGAUACUGACGCUGAGGAGCGAAAGCGUGGGGAGCGAACAGG
rnacentral:rRNA from 1 species